GGCACUCAGGUGUGAAAACAUGCAAACUACUUACUGAGCUGUAGAGAUAUCCCUCAGCGUUCAUGGCAACGUACAGACCUGCCUUCACUCCUUGGAUUGCCACCACGCGAAGACCCACAGGAAUUAGAUUAAAAAGGG